GAAUAGAGGCGCGUUGGGCAAUCAGUAGGCUGCGGGAGAUACCGGAUCGAUGACCGCAGCGGAAAGGGGCCGACGCCGAAGGGGAUUGACCGCCGGACGGGAAAUGCCCUGGCUUCACAGUGAAAAACUGUGUGGCUGUCAUCAUACAUAUGAUGGAGCGCUAUU
rnacentral:ncRNA from 1 species